rnacentral:rRNA from 1 species
AUUGAACGCUGGCGGCAUGCUUUACACAUGCAAGUCGAACGGUAACAGGUUAAGCUGACGAGUGGCGAACGGGUGAGUAAUGCAUCGGAACGUGCCCGGUCGUGGGGGAUAACGCAGCGAAAGCUGCGCUAAUACCGCAUACGAUCUGAGGAUGAAAGCGGGGGACCGUAAGGCCUCGCGCGAUCGGAGCGGCCGAUGUCAGAUUAGGUAGUUGGUGGGGUAAAGGCCUACCAAGCCGACGAUCUGUAGCUGGUCUGAGAGGACGACCAGCCACACUGGGACUGAGACACGGCCCAGACUCCUACGGGAGGCAGCAGUGGGGAAUUUUGGACAAUGGGCGCAAGCCUGAUCCAGCAGUGCCGCGUGCAGGAAGAAGGCCUUCGGGUUGUAAACUGCUUUUGUACGGAGCGAAAAGGCUCUCUCUAAUACAGGGGGUUCAUGACGGUACCGUAAGAAUAAGCACCGGCUAACUACGUGCCAGCCGCCGCCGUAAGAC